rnacentral:tRNA from 1 species
GGACCCGUAGUCUAGUGGAUAAAAAUUAUAUUUUCCAUUAAAGGCACUCGCCUUCGGAGUGAGAAGUCGCAGGUUCGAAUCCUGCCGGGUCCA